UACGAGGGGCCCGAGCGUUAAUCGGAAUCACUGGGCUUAAAGGGUGCGCAGGCGGACCAGAAAGUAUCUUGUGAAAGCCCCCGGCUCAACCGGGGAAUCGCGGGGUAAACUCCUGGUCUUGAGGCAGGUAGGGGCAGACGGAACUGUCGGUGGAGCGGUGAAAUGCAUAGAUAUCGACAGGAACGCCAAUGGCGAAGGCAGUCUGCUGGGCCUGUCCUGACGCUCAGGCACGAAAGCGUGGGGAGCAAACAGG
rnacentral:rRNA from 1 species